GGGGCAGAGCGAGCGCGCGGGGGAGCAAGUUGACAGCCAAUGGCUGCAAAGCGCCGCUAGAUCGCCUGCAUGUUUUGCGCGCGAAGGCAGGGGCGUUGCUGUGCGGGUGUCCAAUGGGAUCGCAGGGCCGGCAGCUCGUUUGCAGGGCGCGCGGCUUGCUGCAGAUGGAGGGGAAGGCAAAAUGGCGGCGACAGGCGGUGGGGGGGCGGUCGCUGCCUCCGAGCAUAGAAGGCGGGUUUGGGGGAUAGCAGCCUCAACCCUGCGGCAGUGCCGUGCCUGGGAGCGGCGUCACCGUUUCCCGGCUUUAUUCUGUGUGAACGCAGUGAGCCCGCCAGCUGCAAAUGCACGGAGCGCACCCUGAGAUCCUGCAGGAAAGGGGAGGGAGGGAGCGCAGCACCGCGGCUGUGCUGUCAGCUCGUAGGUGGGGAUGGAUUUAGGAACACAAAGGCGGGGAGACCUCGGAAAGGGAGCAGCGCCCCGUGCUUGUAAAGAUAAGGGGCACGAACCGCCCUCCCCGUGCUGAGCAGGGCUGGAAUGCAACGGCCGCUCCACCCAGUGCAGAGUGCGGCUCAGCUCCGUGCUCUGCCGGCUCACACCCAGCGCUGGCUGCUCGCAGGGGCUGCAUGGGCAGCUGUGUGCUUUUUCCUUCUUUGUGAAGCACGAGCAGACCGUGAGUAGGACCUAAGAAUAGUCCUGCUGGCACUUGGGAAUUAAACAACGGCAUUCCGAUAUGCAGUCGUGCUUUGCACAAUGGGUGCACGGCAGGGGAAGGCAGCCCGGAGCGGCAGUGAGUCAGUGCAGGGAGGAGAGCUCCGGCCAAUGAGUCACUGCGUUAGAAAUUAAAGGCUGUUAACACACUUGGCUGAAAUAACCCAUUUACAGUACAGUGGAAAAACGAAGGCCCGGCAGUCUGGACGAUGCUAUCCCUCCCUCCCCGCCCCAAGUGAUGAAUCCCAGCGUUACUUUCUGAAGCCAGUUUGGUGCGUUGCGGCUCAAGAGAAGUGAGCAGAGCGAGGACUUGAGGACUAUCAGAAGCUCGCUCCCCAUUGGUGAUAACGGCAGUUUUUACUUCAGAUCUGCACACCCUGAAGUUUGAAAGCGAUGCAUUUCUAAUGCGGCCCUUCCCUUCCCCCUCCCCCCCCCGUGCAGUGGUACAAACUGAUCCUGGUUAAAAAUAACCCCCAGAUUCCUGAUAGUGAACAAAAAGAGGCAAUUGCACAACUCCUCUUCCAACCGUACCGCCUCAUCAGGAUUUGGGAUGUCAUCAAUUCAGGAGCGAGCAGCAGCGUGGCCGUUCCCCAUCAAUCAGGGACAGGCAGAAGGACACACCUAUGAGACCACUGCUGUCAUGAUGGUGUAAAUACUGCCUAAUUAUGUUGCAACCUCUACUCCCAGAUUUCUGUAGAGAAGACUGCUGAUGUUGUGUGAUCUCUUUGCAAAACGCCCACGGGGGAAAGAAGGCUGAAACCACCGCAAGAGAAAUGAACCAGAGCCAUACUGAGUUAGCCUGAGUUCCACCCACAUCCCUGUGACUGGAGAUUCCUGUUAGCUGGUUGGAAGUGUUUAUCUGCAGCCAAAAUCUCAGCCGUCUGAACCCCGCUCUUGGUUGUUCAAGGUUUCGUCGCCAUUUCAUGCACAGCUCCGGAGAUGGAGCUGCAAGGCACAGGGUGCUUCAGCAGCAAGCUGGUGUAUGUGGGAGUAGGAGAGCUGGGAGAUGUUUAUCAGUGCUGUGUCUGCACUGGCAGCGUUUACCACAUUAGCCUGCAGCACCUAUGUCUGCAGCCAUAACAUCUCAGGUAAAGUAGUUGAGUGGAAGUCCAAAUUCACUUCACCCCAACAACACACCCAAGAUUUCACACAAUUCAUACCAUGUUGCAUAAUCUAGCCUGAAAAAAUCUCCAGGAAAAAAAACCUGCAGCUUUCCUGCAGUUUUUACACAAAUAUACACAUAGUCCUCGUUAGCUUCAAAAUACUAUUUUUACCCCUAUCUUUUUUUUCCUUGGAUUCAACUUGACAGCAUGCAGUUUAUCUUAGCACAGAAGAUGGAGCGUGGAUAUGGGUUUAGUUGAGCUGUAGCACUUCAGCUGCAGCACAUUUAUUUACAAAACAACCAAAAAAAAUAUGAAAUCAUUGAUUCAAAGGAAUCAAUAAUAAAUAUUUGCUUUCCUCUGAGUUGUUCAGACACAGUACAAGUACACCAAUUAUAGCAGGUAGAAGAGAUGUAAGCUCAGUUUAGCUGCUUAGACAUAAGAAAGCUACAUAACAUUGUAUGCAUUUAAUCACACUAGUAAUAACUGGUAUAUGACAGUAAAUGCUUUAAACACACUAUUUUACACAAUCAAGUUUGGCUUAUGGUUCAUUUGUUUCCCUUGUGCAACUUCUGAUUUUCUGGAGCCCAGAAAAUGUCCCUUUGGGAAUGAGAUACCUCUUAAAUGAACUCCUUCUCCAGGGAAGAGGCUGUUGGGCACAGGCUUGGGGGGGAAUUCUGCUUGCUGGCACCAAGCAGCCCCCAGGCUACAAUGGAGCACAGCACCCUUUGCUAAUUGCAGGCCUGGCCUGUGACUCAAACUAACCUCCAGUAUUAGGUACUUAGGCCGUAACCAGCUCUACUGUUUGGACUGUUAUCCUCAUUUUGUGUUAAUGAGGUACUGGUUGCUUGGGGUGUUUGCUUUGCUGAGAAAUUCGCUCCUGGUUUACUCUGCAUAGAAUAGGUGUCACAGCAAAUCUGUUGAGGUGACAUCACAGUCAGGGAACUUAAAAAGCCACAAACUUCACAGGUCCUACACCUGGAAUGCUUUGGAAGAACUUACUAGCAGUGCCUAUGCCUUCAGGGCCUACAAAAAGAGGAGUCGCAGACACUGAGCAGCUGCUGCCUCCAACCAAACCCAGCAGAGCACAGCUGACCCAGGAGCGUGGCUCUGAAAUGGUGCCUAGGCAAGAUGACCCAGUAUCCAGUACUGGUGAAAGCAAAAAGCUUAUCAAACAGCCGAUUCCCUUCUAUCAGUUGGUGGCUCAAGGCCCCCCCUCACAACAAACAGUAUUUUGGCCUUCUGAGGGUGGGUCGUGCUGACUGCAGUGCAGAGAGCAAACGGUACAGGUGAUGAGGAUGGUGAUUGCUUUAGGAAGAGAAGUUCUCAGAUAGCAUAGGGCAAAUUUGGAAACUAUUUCUCAUAGGGAAGUGGCCCAAACAUGGCCUCGUUUCAAUCAGACCUUCUGAGAUCUCAAAUAAAUGGAAUGAUGGGUCUCAGAAAGGGAUUUAGAACCUACAAGCUCAGUGUCUUCUGUGUAGCAGUGGUCAGAGUCGAGUCCUUCAGAGGAAAGUACAGACAGUUCUGGGACCACCUGCCCCCACAGGAAGCCUGUCCCUAUUUCCCAUCAUUUCUCAUUGGCCUUCAAACUGAAGUGUAAGACUGUAUCCCUUGAAAAUGUCUAUUCUGGCAAACAAUCACAGAAAGUGUUUUCAUCAUUCCUGCAUUCUUUUAAGAGUCCUGCUAAGGUUUAAGCCUUGAGAAUAGCACGUGGCCUACAGGCUGGUGUCUGGCGGUACACCUUCCUUCCCUUAGCACUGCACUUACAGUUUCCCUGUCCCUGGUGUAUUUUCCUCAUGACGUGUUCUUUCACUCCAUCUUCAGUCUUACCUGGAUGUGUGAAGGUCAAUCCAGGAAUGCUGUUCAUUCACUUUUGGGAAGAGCUCUCCAAGGUUUCUGUAUGGUUCACCCCAAACUGGUGAAUUCACAACCUGGCUGUAGCAAACACAUCUUCCAAGUCCUUCCUGCAGGCUUUUUGGUUGGUUAGCAGCCCUCAGUUUUUGAGGUAUGCCUUCAUUUUGGCUUCAGCAUCCAAUUCUCUUCUCACUAAGGCUCAUGUGACACAGACGCAACUCAGGUGAAGUUACUGCAGCUUUUCAGUGCUGUCCAUACAAGCAGUCAGGCUCCUGGCCGCAUAUCUCUGUAUGCACCAUAAAUCUUAUCCUAGCAAUUGAAGUAUCUCUGCUUCCUUGACAUGUAGGCUCCUUCCUCUUUAGUACAAGGGUUAGUUCAGACACAUGCUUUUGUGCUGUCUCUCUUGACCUUUCCCAUCUGCUUUAAUUGCAGCCUCCAGAAGUAUUUCCCUAGAAGGCUGAAUGCAGAAAAAAGGCAAGCAUGUGUCAGGUCCAUUCAAGGUUGACCACCAGAGCACCCUCAGCAGACAGAUUGCUUCAAAAUCUUCAGGAGUCGGAGCAGUCACACGGUCUGGAACGCUCGGCUCUGGGCAGGCACCAUGACCAGCGUGGCUCCCAUCUUCAUCAGGUUGGCGUAGUCGACUUUCUUUGGCUCUGUUUCCUUCCCUCCCAUCUCCCUCUGGCUGUACUGUGGGGGAGUCAGAUGGGGAGUAGCUUCGGUUGACAAAGUCCGCUGGCUGCGAGAGGCACUGUUGGCUGUCGACCUGGUUGAGGAGGAACCCGAGCGUGAGCUCCUGGAACCAGAGGAUGAGGAGCUGGGCUUGACAAGAUGGGCUUUGGGUGCCUCUGCGUCUUCUCUGCAAUCAAACAUACCACGAGAACACAAACAAUUACACAUUUUACUACCCUGAAUUGCUGCUGCAGUGAUUGCUUGCUGAAGUCGCCAAGGCACAUUUGUCCAGAAGUUUGAGCAAGGCAGUGGGUUUCCUGAACUCUGUGCAACAUAACUUCGUAGACUGAAUUUGCUGUAGCUCUGCAGAGCUAUUGGCCAAAUGGACUUAGAAUACAUGCGUGCACAACUGGC